CCUACGGGAGGCAGCAGUAAGGAAUAUUGGUCAAUGGACGCAAGUCUGAACCAGCCAUGCCGCGUGAAGGAUGAAGGUCCUCUGGAUUGUAAACUUCUUUUAUAGGGGACGAAACCUCUUUUUCUAAAGAGACUGACGGUACCCUAGGAAUAAGCACCGGCUAACUCCGUGCCAGCAGCCGCGGUAAUA
rnacentral:rRNA from 1 species